CUUGAACGCUGGCGGCAGGCCUAACACAUGCAAGUCGAACGAGUGGCGGACGGGUGAGUAAUGUCUGGGAAACUGCCUGAUGGAGGGGGAUAACUAAUGGAAACGGUAGCUAAUACCGCAUACCCUCAGAUGUGCCCAGAUGGGAUUAGCUUGUUGGUGGGGUAACGGUUCACAAAGGCGACGAUCCCUAGCUGGUCUGAAGGGAUGACCCGCCACACUGGAACGGAGACACGGUCCAGACGCCGACGGGCGGCAGCAGUGGGGAAGAUUGCACAAGGUGCGCAAGCCUGAUGCAGCCAUGCCGCGUGGAUGAAGAAGGCCUUCGGGUUGUAAAGUACUUUCAGCGGGGAGGCGUUACCCGCAGAAGAAGCACCUGCUAACUCCGUGCCAGCAGCCGCGGUAAUAC
rnacentral:rRNA from 1 species